AUGGAAGAAGAUGAGAGCUUAUGCAGUGAACCCAGCAUGGCAGGAGUUACAGCACGCGCUAAGCCUGAAGUUGGCCGGCAGAUAUCAGUGAGUGAGUUCCUUUGCCACUGCUGUUACGACAUUCUGGUCAAUCCCACCACCCUGAACUGUGGGCACAGCUUCUGUAGACAUUGCUUAGCCUUGUGGUGGGCGUCCUCCAAGAAGAAUGAAUGUCCGGAAUGCAGAGAAAAAUGGGAAGGAUUCCCCAAAGUCAACAUUCUCCUGAGGGAUGUUAUUGAAAGGCUGUUUUCUGAUGCCAUUGAACAAAGAAAAGAAGAUAUUCAGCAAAACAGUGAUGUAGUGCGCAGCUUAGCAACCUUCCAAAAAUAUGGGAAUGACCAGAUUUCUACGGCUCCAAACACAGGAAGAAUUAAUCCUCGAGGAAGAGGGUUUUUCUCAGGCGUUCUGACAGCUUUAACUUGUGUAGCAGUAGUACUACUUGGGUAUCACUGGAGUAGCAGAGAACUUGAAGAUGAUCUUCUUGUCCACAAGCCUGUUGCUAAAUGGACUGCUGAAGAAGUGGCGCUUUGGCUGGAGCAGCUGGGCCCUUGGGCCUCUCUUUAUAAAGAAAGAUUUUUGCUGGAGAAAGUGAAUGGAAGGCUCCUUCUAACGCUGACAGAGGAGGAUUUCACAAAAGAGCCUUUCAGUAUAGAGAACAAUAACCAUAGAAAAGCAAUUACAGCAGAAUUGGAAUGUGUCAGAACUUUAGGUGUUAAACCACCACAGAACCUUUGGGAGUACAAGGCAGUAAAUCCAGGAAAAUCACUCUUUCUUUUGUAUGCACUCAAGAAUUCUCCAAGACUCAGUAUGUUAUACUUAUAUCUGUUUGAUUAUACUGAAGCUUUCCUACCUUUUAUCCACACCAUUUGUCCUAUGCAAGAAGACCAAUAUGAAGACAUGGUCACAAAAUUAUUAGACCUUAAAGAUCCCACUUGGAAACAGUGGAGAGAAUUCAUUGUAAAGUAUAUAUUUUUGCCAUACCAGUUGGUAGCUGAAUUUGCUUGGGACUGGCUGGAUGUGCACUACUGGACAUCAAGAUUUAUCAUUGUAAAUGCCAUGCUACUCUCUGUUCUGGAACUAUUCUCCUUUUGGAAGCUCUGGUCAAGAAGAGAAUUGAAGACUAUUCCUCACAGAAUGUGGAAACAUUUUUGGAAAGUCUCAACCCAGGGUCUUUUUGUUGCAGUUUUUUGGCCUGUUAUUCCUCAGUUUGUCUGCAAUUGUUUGUUUUACUGGGCCUUGUACUUCAACCCAAUUAUAAACAUUGAUCUUGUAGUUAAAGAAGUAAGGCGCCUGGAGACACAAGUGCAAUGACUGACAUCGAGCUUUUGAGCUGUAGUACCUGUCUGCUAAGUGGGAACUUGAGCUGCAGUGUGUGGUGGGGAGGUGCAUCACUGUAAUGACUGAAUGUUUGUGCUUUUAAAACUUCUCCAAGAAGUCUUUAGUUCUUCAGCUCUUGGCCAAGCAGUAACAGCCAGGAAACUAUGUUGUACUGUGAGGCCAGUGUUGGCAAGCUAUGAUAAUGAAUAUCAGGACUUCAGAGACUGUUCUGGAAUCUCUGUGGUGCUGUUGUGGAUACCUGGUCAUGUCUGCUUCCUUUGCAGCUCUGAAGUAACAGCUUUCAGCUCUGGGUAGUAGAAGAGUACCUUUGAGGCAUAACCAAACUGUUAUCUCUACAACAGCAUUGCAAGAGUUACUUUCACACGCAGUGCAUUCCUGGCUGAAAAAAACUGACAGAGCAACUGCAGUGCUACAAAUGGAGCAGCUUGCACUCCUGAGCGUUUGGGGAAAUUUGGCUGGAGUUGUGUGGUGGCCAAAGGAACUGCGACAGCAGUUGAUGGCAAAGCUGGGGCUGCUUGAGUGAUGGUUGUAACUCUGAGGAAACCCCUGAGGGAAGUGAAGAAUUUACGGAGCGUAGCAGUUCCUGGGCAGUGGGGAAAGAAGAUGCAGGAGGGGUAGAAAACAGGAAGACAAAGGCAAGACUUUGUAAAUUCUAUUCCUGGUUGCAUCAGGGAAUUGUUUGCCAACUUUGGAGAAAUCCCAAUCCCUUAUUUGAAUCCAGGUAAGGUGGAAGCAGUGAAUUGUCUUCUCCCUGGGGAGCUCAAGUGUAAUUCCCGGAAGUGUGCCAUGUAAGCUAAAGAAAAGGAAACAAACUUGUUCUUGCAGUUUGUUUAUAUUAGAGCUCCUAGUCAUCCAGGCGCAAACCAAGACUGCGCAGUACCAGAUGCUGUGAAUAUGACUGCAGGAAAGGUCUGUUGCAAGAGCGCUGUGACCUGAGUAUGACAGAAGCAAUGAAGGAGACUCCUGGAACCCGCAGAACUACAGAAGCAGCAAGGGUAUCAGCAUGGUAAGGGUUGCAUGAGUGUAUAAGCAGCCUAAAACCAUUUCCAGAAUAUUUUAUCAGAACUUCCGUGGGAUAAAAUCCAAAAAUUGAAAAGUGGAGUGACAUACUUGUGCAGUUCCACAUAGUUUAUGAUUAAGAUGCAUUUUUAAGUUGUUCUGUGACAUCUGUUGUUACAGCAGUUGCUCAUUUCUUGUCGGGGUGGGAAUAUCCCCAAGGGUUCCAUUGUGCAUUCCUGAAAAAGCAGCCAUGCUUUUACUAGGCCAUUUGGGGGUAACUCCUGUUUUUAAGCAUGGAAUGGAUCUUCUUGUCUGUGAGUUUUCUUUUUUGUCAUGCAAAUCGUGUGUGGCUGCAUUGGAGACCAUACUGUGGCUGAGGAAAAAGGGAGGGAACCAGACUGGGUUUAAUUUGUUGGCUUAAUGAUGUGUACGAGAAAUUACAAAUGCAUUGCUGUGAUAUGCAGAGGUCACAGGAAAUAAGUACAAGCAAGUGUACAAAGAUACUCUACAGCAAGACAGUUUGAGUCUAGACAGUUAGAGCUUUCAAAAAGCUUGCAAUAUUUAAUUCCUGUGAUCAUCACGUAUCUGGAAUUGUGACUGCCUUUGCUAAAAUUUCAGCUGAUGAGAGAAAGCUUUAGAGAAGGGUUUUUGGAGGGGACGGUGAAAGCCAGACCAGCCCCAAAGCCCUGACGAGGUCUGUCCACGUAAAUGGGUGCCAGGCAGCCGCUUUACAAGUGGAGGUCAAAGGGAAAACAAAUCCAUACCAAUCCCAGCAUGGCUCUAGGCACUGCUUCUGUCCCCACUGCUGUUUGACAAACUCUGUAGUUGUCCUUGUGAUUUUAAUAACUAAGUCACGGAGAUUAGAGGCUAUGCAUGGCUUUCUGAAGAGUGAAAUUAAGUAAGAAGUGAAGACAGACUGAGAGAAAGUAGAGAGAGAACAGACUGAGAGAAAGUAGCACCAGGUAAUCCGUUAUGGUUGUGUUGCGCUUGAUUUCAAAUCUGUAAUUUUGUUGCCCACAUUGGAGUCCUGCCAUUGGAGUUUAAGCUUCUGGAUUGCUGCCUAUGCAGGCUCUUGAGAGCUUGGAUUGUGCUGUGCAUUGUGUCAUGAUUAUCAUGUCUUUGCAAGAUAUUUUCUGCCACACCUUCCUAUAUAAUUUUUCCUGGCUUUCUGGCUGCCUACCUUGCAAUAAUAUUUAAAACAAACAAACAAACAGCAGUCCCUUAAAUUUCUGUUUGCAUGUAGGGGGAAAAAGGCACUUAAGAAGCAUGAGUUUUUUGUGGCAGGCCGUACUUCCUAUACCAUUUUCCCUUUGCAAGGGUCGCAAAGUUUUUCGAUACUGUAUUUUUAUUGAGAUACAGAGCUUUAGUGAACUGUGAUACACAGCUGCAUUAAUCAUUGGCAUCCUGUAUAGUCCAUGUGGAUUUUAUAAGAAAUUCUAAGCCAUGCUAUCAAAGGCGGAGGCCACAGAAACAUUUUUGAUGUCAAGUAUAUUUAGGAUUGCCUAUAGUGAUGUUUCCUUGUAAGGUCAUAGUGUUCCAGUAGUUUGGAGGUUGAGAACUAGGGGUGAGCAGUUUUUCUGAUGCAUCUCCCAGGUCCUGCCAGGAGUGGAUGCCCUCAAACUGUAUGCGUUACCACUUUUUUCUUUUUCUGGCUUAGAUUUGUCCACAAAUAGAUUUGUCACAAGCCCUCAGGAACGGCCUUUCUCACCUCAUCUCUUUGCCCAGACUGCUGCCAUACACAACUACAGCUUAUAGAAAUAGCAAACUUCUUUGGACAGAUACAUUUGCCUGAUAGUGCAGCACAAGCAUUGAGAAAGAGGUAAAUUACCUUUCCCUCCCUGCUCCCUGCCUACGGAACGGGUGAGUGCGAAGCCUGACUCAGAGCCAUCAGGCUGAAGGCAGGCCCUCUCUGUAAUGAUCACUCCAGGCUGCCACAAGCAGUGAAACAGUCUUUCAUCGCUUCCCUUGAUGUUCUUGCUGAGGUUUGGACCAAGCAAGGAUGAAGGCUUGGAGGAGGAACAAAGUGCAGAAGGAAUAACAGGGGCACGCUGAGGUCAGGAAGUGGAAUUGGGGCAGUGAGUCCAGUGGGACCUUCUGCUGGCCCCAUCAUGUGAGCGCCUUCCCUCGGUCUUUAAUCCUGUGAUUGCCCUUCUUUCCUCCCCCCAGCCCCUGCUCAGCUUGUACAGAGGACCUGCUUCAGGAAUGAGUGGGACGUGUGAAGAAGUGCAGGAAGACAAAGGAGAAUCUCUUGAUUUAGGCAGCUGAGUGCUCUUCUGGAAAAGUGGCUUUUAUCCUAGCGGUGCAGCAGCAGUCUGUUGAGCCACACGCUCUGCCUGUGCUCCAUGCCUGCGCCCGGUGCUCCUGGGCUGGGGGCCGAGCGGGCGCAGUGAGAGCCGGGCUGUGCCGUGCUGUGCCGCGCUCUGUCGUGUGGCAGUGCUAAAUAGUGUGGGGUUCUUUCACGACACCGCAGGAACCUAAAAUUAGCGGAUACUUUUCUGUGCACUAGCUGCUUAGAAAGGAGGGUAUAGCUCCACAGGAGCAUGGAAGAAAUACGUCCAGUCAGGUUCUGCAUUGAUGAGUACCUCAGAAAAUCUACGAGGAAAUGAACUGUAAACUAUUACAACUGCUCUCUAUUACGGGACACCUAUUUAAUAAGCAGGAUCCAAAAAAUUAAAUAUUUGCCAAGUGCGUUGUCUGUGAGGGUAAGGCAGGAGGUGGGGGUCCUGUAAUUACGGACCCACCCGUACCUUCUUCACUGCGCCCGCCUCGCUCUGCGGGAGCCGCCGCGCCGUGCCGCCGCGAGCAGCGCCUACGAUGUGUCCCGGCACGGCGCCUCGGCGGGCGAGCAGCCGGCUGCCCUACGUGCGGGCUGCAGUCUGGAGAUCCUGAACUUGAAACAUGAAGUUUAAGAGUAAAGGGAGGACGAGUCAAAGGACCUCCAGCGCGGCAGCUCCGUGCCGCUCGGCAGCGGACAGGCGGCUCUCCUGGCCGCAGCGGGCCGGCCGCUUCUCGGGAGGGAAGAUGCGCCUCGCCGCGUCUCUCCGAGGGCUGCCCGCUCCGCCCCAACCCCCGCCUCAGCUCCCGGGAAGCGGCACUCACCGGCGGCGAGCAGCAGCAGCAGCACCAACGGCAGCGGGGCCGGGCGGCGGGGCUCCAUG